rnacentral:rRNA from 1 species
GGUCUGUUAGAUAGCCAUGCAUGUCUAAGUAUAAGCAAUUAUACCGUGAAACUGCGAAUGGCUCAUUAAAUCAGUUAUCGUUUAUUUGAUAAUACCUUACUACUUGGAUAACCGUGGUAAUUCUAGAGCUAAUACAUGCUGAAAAUCCCGACUUCGGAAGGGAUGUGUUUAUUAGAUAAAAAACCAAUGCCCUUCGGGGCUUUUUGGUGAUUCAUGAUAACUUUACGGAUCGCAUAGCCUUGCGCUGGCGACGGUUCAUUCAAAUUUCUGCCCUAUCAACUUUCGAUGGUAAGGUAUUGGCUUACCAUGGUUUCAACGGGUAACGGGGAAUUAGGGUUCGAUUCCGGAGAGGGAGCCUGAGAAACGGCUACCACAUCCAAGGAAGGCAGCAGGCGCGCAAAUUACCCAAUCCCGACACGGGGAGGUAGUGACAAUAAAUACUGAUACAGGGCUCUUUUGGGUCUUGUAAUUGGAAUGAGUACAAUUUAAACCUCUUAACGAGGAACAAUUGGAGGGCAAGUCUGGUG